rnacentral:rRNA from 1 species
AUGCUGUUCACAUUCUCUCUCAGAGAUGCUGCUAAGGACUGGUACUAUUCUUUGCCAUCAAGAUCAUACACUUGGGGUGAUAUUUCGCAAGCUUUCCUGCACAGAUAUUUUCCACUUUACAAGCAAGCUGCAAUUCGUGACCAGAUCCUCAGUUUUGCGCAAGAUGGAAGUGAGAGCUUGUAUGCAGCUUGGGAGAGAUAUAAGUAUUUGCUUAGAAAAUGUCCUAAUCAUGGGCAAAAGGAUUGGUUAGUGCUCCAGAUAUUCUAUAGAGGGCUGACACAUGCUUCAAGAGAUCUUAUUGAUAUGACAGCUGGUGGAACAAUCAUGAACAAGACCGUUGAGGGUGCAAUUAUUCUCAUUGAGAGCAUUGCCUUCCACCAAAUGCAAUGGGGUUAUGAAAGGCCUAGUUCAAAUCCGAAGGUUGCAAGCCAUCUGCAAUCAGAAGCUGUGUGUUCCAUAAGUGAACAGAAAUCAUCCAUGGUGCCUAAUAUUUGA